rnacentral:rRNA from 1 species
UACGGAGGGGGCUAGCGUUGUUCGGAAUUACUGGGCGUAAAGCGCGCGUAGGCGGCUUUGUAAGUUAGAGGUGAAAGCCCAGGGCUUAACCCCUGGAAUUGCCUUUAAGACUGCAUCGCUAGAAUCGUGGAGAGGUGAGUGGAAUUCCGAGUGUAGAGGUGAAAUUCGUAGAUAUUCGGAAGAACACCAGUGGCGAAGGCGACUCACUGGACACGUAUUGACGCUGAGGUGCGAAAGCGUGGGGAGCAAACAGG